rnacentral:rRNA from 1 species
AUUGAACGCUGGCGGCAUGCUUUACACAUGCAAGUCGAACGGUAGAGGGGGCAACCCCUUGAGAGUGGCGAACGGGUGAGUAAUGCAUCGGAACGUGCCCAGUCGUGGGGGAUAACUACUCGAAAGAGUGGCUAAUACCGCAUACGACCUGAGGGUGAAAGCGGGGGACCGAAAGGCCUCGCGCGAUUGGAGCGGCCGAUGUCAGAUUAGGUAGUUGGUAGGGUAACGGCCUACCAAGCCGACGAUCAAUAGCUGGCGUGAGAGCGCGACCAGCCACACUGGAACUGAGACACGGUCCAGACUCCUACGGGAGGCAGCAGUAGGGAAUAUUGGACAAUGGGCGGAAGCCUGAUCCAGCCAUGCCGCGUGGAGGAUUAAGGCCCUCUGGGUUGUAAACUCCUUUUAUCUGGGAAGAACCAUUCCGACUUGUCGGAACAUGACGGUACCAGAGGAAUAAGCACCGGCUAACUCCGUGCCAGCAGCCGCGGUAAAUCGUGUGA